rnacentral:ncRNA from 1 species
UCUUAUCUAGAGAGAUGGAGGGGCUGGCCCAAUGAAGUCUCGGCAACCUAAUUCGGUUAGGUGCCAAUUCCAGAGAGCAGAGGCUCGAAGAUGAG